GAAUAAUUUAAUGGCCGCGGUAUUUUGACCGUGCAAAGGUAGCAUAAUCAUUAGUCUAUUAAUUGUGGACUUGUAUGAAUGGUUGGACGAAAUAUUAUCUGUCUCAUUAUUAUAUUUAGAAUUUAAAUUUUAAGUUAAAAUGCUUAAAUUUAUUUAUAGGACGAGAAGACCCUAUAGAUCUUUAUUUAUUGUAUUUUUUAUUAUUUUGGUUUAUUAUUUUAGUUAAUUAUAUAAUAUUUUUUGUUGGGGUGACAUGGAGACAAAUUAUUAACUCUUUAUUAUUUUUUUCAUUGAUUUUUGUUUAUUUGACCUUUUAUUAUUGUUAUAAGAUGUAGAUACCUUAGGGAUAACAGCGUAAUUCUUUUUGAGAGUUCAUAUUGACAAAGGAGAUUGCGACCUCGAUGUUGGAUUAAGAUUAUAAUUAGGUGUAGUUGUUUAAUUAUUAGGUCUGUUCGACCUUUAAAUUCUUACAUGAUCUGAGUUCAAA
rnacentral:rRNA from 1 species